CCGUUAUGCUCUAGAUGUUGUCAUAGACCAUCUAUUGAAUCAUGGAUUUUCUCCAAGUUAUACUCAUUGGUUUUGUCAUGGAGAGUCCUUAUCAGAAGUCAUUGGAUCCAAUAAAUCUAAUCGUGCUUCUUAUGAUCGUGGACAGUAUAGUGUAGAUGCACAGUAUAAUGUGCGACAAUUUAUAGAAGAUAAAGUUAUUGGCCACACACACGAG
rnacentral:lncRNA from 1 species